GAUGAACGCUGACAGAAUGCUUAACACAUGCAAGUCUUUGGCGAAUCUGUGCUUGCACAGGCUAGCCAAGGCGGACGGGUGAGUAACGCGUAAAGAACUUGCCCUGCAGACAGGGAUAACAGACGGAAACGACUGAUAACACCUGAUACAGUUGCCGGCACGCAUGUGCCUGGCAAUGAAAAGAGAUGCUGCAGGAGAGGUUUGCGUCCUAUUAGCUUGUUGGUGAGGUGACGGCUCACCAAGGCGAUGAUAGGUAGCCGGCCUGAGAGGGUGAACGGCCACAAGGGGACUGAGAUACGGCCCUUACUCCUACGAGAGGCAGCAGUGGGGAAUAUUGGACAAUGGGGGCAACCCUGAUCCAGCAAUUCUGUGUGCACGAAGAAGGUUUUCGGAUUGUAAAGUGCUUUCAGCAGGGAAGAAGAAAGUGACGGUACCUGCAGAAGAAGCGACGGCUAAAUACGUG
rnacentral:rRNA from 1 species